GGGGUUGUAGCUCAAUCGGUUAGAGCGUCCGCCCCUCUUGCGGAAGGUCGCGAGUUCGAGCCUCGUCAACCUCG
rnacentral:tRNA from 2 species